rnacentral:lncRNA from 1 species
GUGGAUUCAUUCCAUGAAGAUGUGUUUCCUAACAAGUGCUGUGGGCCAUGCACUUAAGAAGCUGCCAAUGGAAGAGCCACUGAUCAAACACGCAUUAUUUGUAGAUGUGUGGCAGAGGGCUGAAAGUGGCAUUGAAGAUGUCCGGUACUUUGUUGAAAGGUUUCCCCAUCUCCUCCCAUACCAUGGGCCAGAGGAGCAUGACCACCUGGGUGAGGAGUUUCUGAAUUAUCAGACCAUGCCAACAACCUCCCUUCAGGACGAAACUGAGAUGGAAAGCUUCUGGGCUGGAAUGGCAACACGGAAACAUAAGGUGACAGGAGCCAAAGAAUUUGAGAGGCUUGCUGCCGUCGCCAAGCUGGUCCUGGUGUUGCCCCAUUCGAAUGCAGAUGCUGAGAGGGUGUUUUCAGUUGUGGGACUAAACAAAACUAAGACCAGAAAUAGCCUGGCAUUGGAUGGCACCCUGUCCUCAAUAAUGGCCAUAAAGAUGGCCGACCUGGAGCCCUGUUUCAGAUGGGAGCCCCCCUCAGAGUUCAUCAAGGCCUCCAAGUAGGCCACAGGCCAGUACAAUCUUGCCCCCAGAUCUUAGAAAAUGACUAACCAGCUUCUGAUCUGCAUCUGAUACCUCAUUUUUAGUUAUUUUUGUCAUGUGUUGAUCCAUUGUAUUGCUUAAAAAGGCUACUGUAUAAGCACUUUAUUUGUUGCACUUUUUUGUUUGAUGGAACGUGUGGUGGGAGGCUUUGAAUAAUGAAAAUAUUUCUCCCUAACUAAUCUUGUGUCAUUUUUUGCUGAACAUAAAUCAUUAAGUGCUCUUAAGAAUACAAUUAUUAACAAUAUAGGUUAGGUUUCAGUUCAAAGGGGGUAUUUAAGAGAAG